rnacentral:ncRNA from 1 species
CCUUAUCAAGAGUGACGGAGGGACCAGGCCCUGUGAUGUCCGGCAACCUGCAAUGCAAGGUGCCAAAUCCUGCGGAGGAACGACCGAGAGAUAAGG